rnacentral:rRNA from 1 species
CCUACGGGUGGCAGCAGUGGGGAAUAUUGGACAAUGGGGGCAACCCUGAUCCAGCCAUGCCGCGUGUGUGAAGAAGGCCCUCGGGUUGUAAAGCACUUUCAGUGAGGAAGAACGCCUGGUGGUUAAUACCCAUCAGGAAAGACAUCACUCACAGAAGAAGCACCGGCUAACUCCGUGCCAGCAGCCGCGGUAAUACGGAGGGUGCGAGCGUUAAUCGGAAUUACUGGGCGUAAAGCGCGCGUAGGUGGCUUGAUAAGCCGGUUGUGAAAGCCCCGGGCUCAACCUGGGAACGGCAUCCGGAACUGUCAAGCUAGAGUGCAGGAGAGGAAGGUAGAAUUCCCGGUGUAGCGGUGAAAUGCGUAGAGAUCGGGAGGAAUACCAGUGGCGAAGGCGGCCUUCUGGACUGAAACUGACACUGAGGUGCGAAAGCGUGGGUAGCAAACAGGAUUAGAUACCCUAGUAGUC